AAAAGAUAUUGUAGAUAAUAGGAAAAUAUUGGUUAAUUCUAUUAAAAUAAACCAGAAUGAUUAAGAUGUAUUUAUUUAUUUUUAUUUCAGUUUCACUGAAAUUUAGAAAAAAAUUGUCCAAAAAUAAAAUGUAAACACCUUUAGGCCAUUUAAAUGGGCAUGACACUUUUAUUGCUUUACAGCAGCCACUCUUCCCAAGAAAUUGCAGCCAAGUCUACCUUGCAUGUGGAUGUGUUAUUGGGUGCAAUAUGGGGUGGAUGUGUUAUUGGGUACAAUGGUACAGUAAAUCAUUUGUGGUCCAAUUAUAGGAAUAUAAAGAAUAUUAUAGCUAUUUAUGUACAAGAUGAAACCAUUUUCCUCUGUUAGAAUUUUUUGAUAUAGAUAAAAAAAUUUAUAAAAAGUAUUGCUAAAAAUUGUGUAAAUAAAAUAUGAACAAAUUGAAAUUGAAUUGAAAAUAAAUAUGAAAUAUUAAUAAAAAUGAC
rnacentral:lncRNA from 1 species